rnacentral:misc_RNA from 1 species
CAAUUGCUGCAUGCUACUUCACAUUUGGAGCCUUCAGGUUAGAAUCUGCGUCCUUAUCAGGUGAGAGAAAUGAGCUGGGCCGGUGGAGACUGGAUGUGCAGUGCAUGCCAAUACAUGAAUUUUAGGAACCGGGAAGCAUGCCAACGCUGUGGGUACCCAAAGUAUCAAGGCCCUGAUCCAGCAGGGUGGACAAGGAUCUUGCCUGGAGACUGGUAUUGCACUGCCUUCAACUGUAGAGCUCACAACUACGCUAGCAGGCCAAGCUGCUACAAAUGUGGUGCAGUAAAAAACUAUUAUGCUAGUGGGUGUGAAGGUAGCAGUUAUGGAUCAGAAGGCACUUAUCCUCCAGGAUGGAAAACUGGCGAUUGGAUUUGCCCUAGAAUGGGAUGUGGAGAACAUAAUUAUGCUAGCAGGACUGAAUGUUUCAGAUGCAAGACACCAAGGGAUUUUGGAAGUACGGUUCAAUGAUUGCAAUCAGGUGGACAAAAAUAUAACAUGCAGUGGUAAUUUUCAGAUGAUGAAGCUGUCUCCUCUCUACACAAAUAACUCCUUUAAUUUCUAUUUAUUUUUACAGUCGAAGACCCUAUUCAAAAGCAUAUGUAGCUAGCUAUGCAUUUGCUCUGAUAAGAAGAGUUUCCGGCUUUUAUUAUAUGAUGCAUAUAUAGUGUAAUAAUGUCCCAGUAAAGAGUAGUUAAUUAAUU